rnacentral:pre_miRNA from 1 species
AGCCACUGACUAACGCACAUUGUGCUUCUGUAGACCCUCCACUGUGCGUGUGACAGCGGCUAA